CUACCUAAUACAUGCAAGUCGAGCGAAUGACGAAGAAGCUUGCUUCUUCUGAUUUAGCGGCGGACGGGUGAGUAACACGUGGGCAACCUGCCCUGUAGAUUGGGAUAACUCCGGGAAACCGGGGCUAAUACCGAAUAAUCCAUUUCCUCUCAUGGGGAGAUGUUAAAAGACGGUUUCGGCUGUCACUACAGGAUGGGCCCGCGGCGCAUUAGCUAGUUGGUGAGGUAACGGCUCACCAAGGCGACGAUGCGUAGCCGACCUGAGAGGGUGAUCGGCCACACUGGGACUGAGACACGGCCCAGACUCCUACGGGAGGCAGCAGUAGGGAAUCUUCCACAAUGGACGAAAGUCUGAUGGAGCAAUGCCGCGUGAGUGAAGAAGGUUUUCGGAUCGUAAAACUCUGUUGUGAGGGAAGAACAAGUACGAGAGUAACUGCUCGUACCUUGACGGUACCUCAUUAGAAAGCCACGGCUAACUACGUGCCAGCAGCCGCGGUAAUACGUAGGUGGCAAGCGUUGUCCGGAAUUAUUGGGCGUAAAGCGCGCGCAGGCGGUCCUUUAAGUCUGAUGUGAAAUCCCACGGCUCAACCGUGGAAGGUCAUUGGAAACUGGGGGACUUGAGUACAGAAGAGGAAAG
rnacentral:rRNA from 1 species